AUUCAGAACCUGAGAAAUCUUUCCAGUCUUGAUCUCUCCCAUAACCGGUUGUCUAUUAAUGCCAGUGCUAUUAAUCCUUCCUUGCCUUCCUUCCCCAACAUUACCACAUUGAAGUUGGCUUCUUGCAACUUAAUGAAAUUCCCUGAUUUCUUGAAAGAUCAGAAUAGAUUAGUCUAUCUAGACCUUUCAAACAACAAUAUCCAUGGGGAAAUACCCAAAUGGAUUUGGGAAGCCAGAGGUCUUCUUCACCUAAAUCUUUCUCAGAACUUUCUUGUAGAAUUCGAAGGACCUUUGCAGAAUAUAACUUCUACUCUUAGUGUUCUUGACCUUCAUGGCAACCAGUUGCAAGGGAAAUUUUCAUUUUUUCCGCAAGAUGCCACCUAUCUGGAUUACUCAAACAACAAUUUCAGCUCUGAUUUACCAGCUGAGAUUGGAGACUACCUAAAUUUCGCUUAUUUCUUCUCUCUCUCGAGUAAUAAUUUUCAAGGGAGUAUCCCCAGUUCAAUAUGCAACAGUACAUAUCUUCAAGUACUUGAUCUGUCUAAUAAUUCCCUGAGUGGUGGAAUUCCUGAAUGCCUGACACAUUUCAGUAUGUCUCUUGGGGUGCUGAAUCUAAGGAGAAACAAUCUCAGUGGUGUCAUUUCUGAUACAUUUCCGCAAGACUGUGGGUUGCAAACUCUAGAUCUAAAUCGAAAUUUGCUGCAAGGAAAGGUUCCAAAAUCCUUGGCCAACUGCAAAAUGCUGGAGGUUUUAGACCUUGGAAACAAUCAGAUCAAUGAUACGUUCCCAUGUCAUUUGAAGAAUAUAUCCAGGUUGCGUGUCCUUGUCUUACGAGCCAAUAAAUUUAAUGGGAACAUUCAUUGUCCUGAGAAAAGCCCCUGGCCUGUGCUUCAGAUUGUUGACUUAGCUUCCAACAGUUUUAGUGGUAGACUGCAUUACACAUGCUUGUUGACCUGGAAGGCCAUGCAGACUGUCGAAGAUGAAGCGCAAUCAAAGCUCAAACAUCUUCAGUUUGAAAUCCUACAACUCAAUCCAUAUUACUAUAAGGAUGCAAUAACAGUUACCAUGAAAGGCUUAGAGUUGGAGCUGCUCAAGAUCCUAACAGUGUUCACCUCCAUUGACAUUUCAUGCAACAACUUUGAAGGGCCAAUACCAGAAGUGAUCGGAUCAUUCAAAGCACUUUAUGUCCUUAACCUUUCGCAUAAUGCUUUCACAGGGUCAAUCCCAUCAGUUUUAGGAAACCUGAGACAACUUGAGUCCUUGGACCUCUCAAGUAACAACUUUCAUGGUGAGAUCCCAUUCCAGCUAGCAAACCUCAAUUUCCUUGCAUUUCUAAAUGUCUCAAACAAUAAGCUAAUGGGACGGAUCCCGACAACUACCCUGCUUCAAUCAUUUGCAAAAGCUUCUUUUGAAAACAAUGCUGGAUUAUGUGGACCUCCUUUAAAGAGAAAAUGCCAAUUGCCACCAGCUAUCAAACAGAGCUCUUUCGAUUCUAGGACUAGGAGCCACAUCCACUGGAAUUUUAUAAGUGCUGAGAUAGGUUUUUUCUUUGGGUUUGGAAUUGUCAUUACGCCACUAAUCUUUUGGAAGAGAUGGAGGAUAUGGUAUUAUAAGCGCAUUGAUCUUGCUCUUAUCAGGCUUCUACCUUGGCUGGUUCUUGAAAUCAGAAAGCAUGGGAGUAGAGCUAACUGGAACCAAAGGAGGAGGCUCUAGCAACAAUUGCAGGAAUUGAGUGAAAAGAAAUUUGUAUUUUCCAUUUUCUGGCUUCUAUUUCACCUGUAUGCUUUUUUUGCCGCUUCUCUUUCCACCCUUUGCUUUCCUUGUAAAAGGUUUAUCCUGGUUCUUUUGAAACAAAUCGACUUAUUCCCAAAAAAAAAAAAAGGUCGCGUUCCAGCUACUUGUUCGGAGCUAGCAUUCUUUCGGUUUUAGCAAAUACAAAAUAGCUUCACUUAUCUAGCUGAUCACUUGCACGAUUGCAUUAAUGGCAGAACGCUCAUCACUUGGACAACUUAUCCAGAAUGACACUAGUGACUGAAGCUAAAAGUUAAUCUAAUACAUGCCUGAUAAUAAUUUAGUUUCACCUGAUCUUAUCUUGUUUGGAGGUUUGCUACAUAAUAAAAAUGAUACAGACUCCAACCACUUAGAUUGGAUGAUUCACCUAAACCUUAUCGAUCGCCUCUCCAUUGUGAAAAUUUGUCAUCUAUUUUGCGUUAUGUCAAAUCUGAAAUAACUUGUAUUCAGAGCACCCAUAAUCAUAAGAUGAAGCUUUUGCUUAAAAAGUUUUACUAGUAAUUCGUAAGACAGAUUUUUCCUCCACAUGAUAAGGGAAGAAGGGCCGAUAGAUUUCAGAAGGGAAGUUAUUGUAAUGGUGGAGUAGUAAAUUAUACUGUCGUAAACAAUGCAAGUAACAGUCUCGCUUGUAAACUUUGCAUUAGCAAUUAAUAGUAUAGCUUUUCCAAUAUAUAGUCCUGAUUUCCACAUGAUACAUUAGAAAUUUUCAAAAUAAAAUAUGAGAAUAUUGAAAAAUAAAUAAAUAAAAUAAUCGUUUAAAUUAAGAGGAGUAGAAGUCCAUAGGUAAUGGAUUUAAUUUGGUAAUGGACCAUGAGCUUGAAUUUUCAAGCUUGGCAGGUCUUAUAUUAAUUAAAUAAUUAAUAUUAGUAUUUAAUUAAUGCCAUUUGACAUUUAGUACUUGGCAUAAUAAAUAAAAUAAUAAUUUUUUAUUAAUUAAUUGUUUAAUUAAUUAAGUCUGUCCAAAAUAGAUAAACAAUUAACUCUAUCCAAAAUAGACAGACAAAUAAAAACAAAUAAUUUAUACAAAAUAAACAGAUAAAUCUAUUUAAAAUAAAUAAUUUUUAGCUGUUAAUUUGUUUAUUCAAAAUAGACAAUUAUAUUUGUAAAAUAAAUAUAUAUUUAAUUUGUUAUAUAAGCUCCUUUAGUUUUAUGAGAAAAUACAAAAACAAUUCUCAAAACUCUCCUUUUUUCAAUAAACUUUAGAUUUUUUGUUAUAAAGUUUUGCUAUAGAAAACUUCAUAAAAGUUUGUUGAUCUUGUAAUAAGUCGAUAUAUACUCAGUAGAUUGAUUUCGUCAAUAUAAAAUACAAUUAGUCAUUAAACUUCAUUGUAUCUUCAAAGUUUAUUGCCUACAACUCCUUUGCAAACUUAUUAUGUAAAUAAUACAAUGAAGGCGAAUAAAACAUUCAAAAAAUGACACCAUUAUACACCUUGAAAUUUUUUCUCGAAAUUUUAAAUUUACCAGAAACAGUAAUUCUAGAUUUAUAAUUUUGUUCUAUCAGAUUACACCUUUCAUGAUCAAUCCUAAUUUAACUUUUUGGUUCCUUAAUUAGUUCAUCUACAGCAAUGCAGUGAAGGAGUGGUAAGGCUUCCUGAGUAAGACUUAGUUUUAGGCGCCUCUGCCUGUUCAGUGCUAAAGACCUAAAUGAAUGGCAUCUUACUGAUGAAAUGCCAUGCCCUCAGACGCAAUGUGCUUUUAUAUGGAUUUUAUUCCAGCAGGCUAACUUACCAGAAUUUCAAGCAUUAUGCAUAUGAUUUGCCAUGAUCUAAACGAUUUCUUGAAUUAUUUGAUAUUGUUAACAUUUCUAACCUAGAUCAGGCCAAUCAAAAUCUAAAUUGGUCUUUUUUUCAAUUUUUUAGGCUAUAAUUAGGGUUUGAAUCAGAGAUCUUCAGUCUUUAAACCUAGCACCACUGAGCUAACAUUUCAAUGGCGGUUCAUCCUAUUUAACUCUUGAAUUAUCAUACCAAUACCAUGCAGUAGUCCGAUGUGGUCAUUUAACGGAGGAUUUAUCCCUCUAAUAAGUAAAGUCUUAAGCAUAGCAAGAAAGAGAGCAAAGUCAAUAAUUUAGGCAUAUAGUCAGUGACCAAAGUCUAUGGAAUUCCGCAUUCCUUCACUGCAGAAAAUUCUUCUUUCACAAAAUCAAUUCAGUGGUCACCUCCGGCUUGGUGACCUCCAUGGUGAGGCCUCUUUACUAGAUACUCUUGAUCUUAGUAGCAAUAAGUUACAAGGGCCACUUCCGGGGUCUGUAUUUGAACUUCAAGGUCUCAAGAUACUGUCACUUGCUUCAAACAACUUCAGUGGCAUUAUACCGCUGAGUGCCAUUCAGAACCUGAGAAAUAUUUUCAGCCUUGAUCUCUCCCAUAACCAGUUGUCUAUUAAUGCCAAUGCUACUAAUCCUUCCUUGCCUUCCUUCCCCAACGUUACCAAAUUGAAUUUGGCUUCUUGCAAUUUGAUGAUAUUCCCUGAUUUCUUGAAAAAUCAGUAUAGAUUAGUCUAUCUAGACCUUUCAAACAACAAUAUCCAUGG
rnacentral:lncRNA from 1 species